rnacentral:rRNA from 1 species
AUUGAACGCUGGCGGAAUGCUUUACACAUGCAAGUCGAACGGCAGCACGGACUUCGGUCUGGUGGCGAGUGGCGAACGGGUGAGUAAUGUAUCGGAACGUGCCCAGUCGUGGGGGAUAACGUAGCGAAAAUUACGCUAAUACCGCAUACGAUCUAUGGAUGAAAGCGGGGGAUCGCAAGACCUCGCGCGAUUGGAGCGGCCGAUAUCAGAUUAGGUAGUUGGUGGGGUAAAGGCCCACCAAGCCAAUGAUCUGUAGCUGGUCUGAGAGGACGACCAGCCACACUGGAACUGAGACACGGUCCAGACUCCUACGGGAGGCAGCAGUGGGGAAUUGUGGACAAUGGGCGAAAGCCUGAUCCAGCCAUUCCGCGUGCAGGAUGAAGGCCCUCGGGUUGUAAACUGCUUUUGUACAGAACGAAAAGGUUUCUACUAAUACUAGGAGCUCAUGACGGUACUGUAAGAAUAAGCACCGGCUAACUACGUGCCAGCAGCCGCAGUAA